rnacentral:rRNA from 1 species
UCCUGGCUUAGGACGAACGCUGGCGGCGUGCCUAAUACAUGCAAGGUCGAACGGGGAUGAGGAGAGAUUUAUCUUGAAUCAUUCUAGUGGCGAACGGGUGAGUAACGCGUGAGCAACCUGUCCUAAAGUGGGGAAUAACAGCUGGAAACAGCUGCUAAUACCGCAUAAGACCACGCUGUCGCAUGGCAGAGGGGUCAAAGAUUUAUCGCUUUAGGAGGGGCUCGCGUCCCAUUAGAUAGUUGGUGAGGUAACGGCUCACCAAGUCAACGAUGGGUAGCCGAGCUGAGAGGCUGAUCGGCCACACUGGAACUGAGACACGGUCCAGACUCCUACGGGAGGCAGCAGUAGGGAAUAUUGGGCAAUGGGCGCCAAGCCUGACCCAGCAACGCCGCGUGAGGGAAGAAGGUUUUCGGAUUGUAAACCUCUGUCCUUGGUGACGAAACAAAUGACGGUAGCCAAGGAGGAAGCCCCGGCUAACUACGUGCCAGCCGCAGC